rnacentral:rRNA from 1 species
AGCGAACGUUAGCGGCGGGCCUAACACAUGCAAGUCGAGCGAGAAAAGGGCUUCGGCCCUGAGUAAAGCGGCGGACGGGUGAGUAACACGUAGGUAAUCUUCCCUUGAGCGGGGGACAACGAGCCGAAAGGCUCGCUAAUACCGCAUACGUUUCCAGAGGCCCCGGUCUUUGGAAGGAAAGCUAGGCCGCAAGGUCCGGCACUCGAGGAGGAGCCUGCGUCGCAUCCGCUAGUUGGUGGGGUAACGGCCUACCAAGGCGAAGGCGCGUAGCUGGUCUGAGAGGAUGAUCAGCCACACGGGGACUGAGACACGGCCCAGACUCCUACGGGAGGCAGCAGUGGGGAAUAUUGGACAAUGGGCGCAAGCCUGAUCCAGCCACGCCGCGUGAGUGAUGAAGGCCUUCGGGUCGUAAAGCUCUGUGGGGAGGGACGAACCGCUGCACGUUCAUAGCGUGCAGCAUGACGGUACCUCCUCAGCAAGCACCGGCUAACUUCGUGCCAGCCGCCGCGGUAAAAC